rnacentral:sRNA from 1 species
GGGCCAGCUGAAGGACGCCUCCGGGUGCGGGAAUUUCUCGCUACAUUGAAGACCUGUUGGUGACCCUCUGCUGUUGUUUUUUAUUUGGUUGGGUUGUUGUCUCUUUGACACAUUCCCCAUUUCCAUUCUCAAUUUUAUAAAAAAAUGUAUGAACAUCUUGUUAAUAAAAUUAAGAAAGGAAAUGGGGAAUGUGGCAAAGCGACAACAACCCGACCAUAGAGCAGACAACAGUCGAAGGCCACCAAUGGGUCUUCAUUGUAGCGAGAAUUCUCGCACCAGUAGGUGUACUUCAGCUGCCCC